GACGGAGGGGGCUAGCGUUGUUCGGAAUUACUGGGCGUAAAGAGUGCGUAGGCGGUUUAGUAAGUUGGGAGUGAAAGCCCGGGGCUUAACCUCGGAAUUGCUUUCAAAACUGCUAAGCUAGAGUGUAGUAGGGGAUGAUGGAAUUCCUAGUGUAGAGGUGGAAUUCUUAGAUAUUAGGAGGAACACCGGGGGCGAAGGCGAUCAUCUGGGCUAUAACUGACGCUGAUGCACGAAAGCGUGGGGAGCAAACAGG
rnacentral:rRNA from 1 species